AGCGAACGCUGGCGGCAGGCCUAACACAUGCAAGUCGAACGGACCCUUCGGGGUUAGUGGCGGACGGGUGAGUAACACGUGGGAACGUGCCUUUAGGUUCGGAAUAGCUCCUGGACACGGGUGGUAAUGCCGAAUGUGCCCUUAGGGGGAAAGAUUUAUCGCCUUUAGAGCGGCCCACGUCUGAUUAGCUAGUUGGUGAGGUAAUGGCUCACCAAGGCUACGAUCAGUAGCUGGUCUGAGAGGAUGACCAGCCACAUUGGGACUGAGAAACGGCCCAAACUCCUACGGGAGGCAGCAGUGGGGAAUCUUGCGCAAUGGGCGAAAGCCUGACGCAGCCAUGCCGCGUGAAUGAUGAAGGUCUUAGGAUUGUAAAAUUCUUUCACCGGGGACGAUAAUGACGGUACCCGGAGAAGAAGCCCCGGCUAACUUCGUGCCAGCCGCCGCCGUAACAC
rnacentral:rRNA from 1 species